rnacentral:rRNA from 1 species
GAUGAACGCUGGCGGCGUGCCUAAUACAUGCAAGUCGAGCGAACGGACGAGAAGCUUGCUUCUCUGAUGUUAGCGGCGGACGGGUGAGUAACACGUGGAUAACCUACCUAUAAGACUGGGAUAACUUCGGGAAACCGGAGCUAAUACCGGAUGAUAUUUUGAACCGCAUGGUUCAAAAGUGAAAGACGGUCUUGCUGUCACUUAUAGAUGGAUCCGCGCUGCAUUAGCUAGUUGGUAAGGUAACGGCUUACCAAGGCAACGAUGCAUAGCCGACCUGAGAGGGUGAUCGGCCACACUGGAACUGAGACACGGUCCAGACUCCUACGGGAGGCAGCAGUAGGGAAUCUUCCGCAAUGGGCGAAAGCCUGACGGAGCAACGCCGCGUGAGUGAUGAAGGUCUUCGGAUCGUAAAACUCUGUUAUUAGGGAAGAACAUAUGUGUAGGUAACUGUGCACAUCUUGACGGUACCUAAUCAGAAAGCCACGGCUAACUACGUGCCAGCAGCCGCGGUAAUACGUAGGUGGCAAGCGUUAUCCGGAAUUAUUGGGCGUAAAGCGCGCGUAGGCGGUUUUUUAAGUCUGAUGUGAAAGCCCACGGCUCAACCGUGGAGGGUCAUUGGAAACUGGAAAACUUGAGUGCAGAAGAGGAAAGUGGAAUUCCAUGUGUAGCGGUGAAAUGCGCAGAGAUAUGGAGGAACACCAGUGGCGAAGGCGACUUUCUGGUCUGUAACUGACGCUGAUGUGCGAAAGCGUGGGGAUCAAACAGGAUUAGAUACCCUGGUAGUCCACGCCGUAAACGAUGAGUGCUAAGUGUUAGGGGGUUUCCGCCCCUUAGUGCUGCAGCUAACGCAUUAAGCACUCCGCCUGGGGAGUACGACCGCAAGGUUGAAACUCAAAGGAAUUGACGGGGACCCGCACAAGCGGUGGAGCAUGUGGUUUAAUUCGAAGCAACGCGAAGAACCUUACCAAAUCUUGACAUCCUUUGACAACUCUAGAGAUAGAGCCUUCCCCUUCGGGGGACAAAGUGACAGGUGGUGCAUGGUUGUCGUCAGCUCGUGUCGUGAGAUGUUGGGUUAAGUCCCGCAACGAGCGCAACCCUUAAGCUUAGUUGCCAUCAUUAAGUUGGGCACUCUAAGUUGACUGCCGGUGACAAACCGGAGGAAGGUGGGGAUGACGUCAAAUCAUCAUGCCCCUUAUGAUUUGGGCUACACACGUGCUACAAUGGACAAUACAAAGGGCAGCGAAACCGCGAGGUCAAGCAAAUCCCAUAAAGUUGUUCUCAGUUCGGAUUGUAGUCUGCAACUCGACUACAUGAAGCUGGAAUCGCUAGUAAUCGUAGAUCAGCAUGCUACGGUGAAUACGUUCCCGGGUCU